UACGUAGGCAGCAAGCGUUGUUCGGAGUUACUGGGCGUAAAGGGUGUGUAGGCGGUUCCUUAAGUUUGCUGUGAAAUCUCCCGGCUUAACCGGGAGGGUGCGGUGAAUACUGAGGGACUAGAGUACGGGAGAGGAAAGUGGAAUUCCGGGUGGAGUGGUGAAAUGCGUAGAGAUCCGGAGGAACACCGAAGGCGAAGGCAGUGUCCUGGCUGGUGACUGACGCUGAGGUGCGAAAGCUAGGGGAGCGAACGGG
rnacentral:rRNA from 1 species